UACGGGGGGGGCAAGCGUUGUUCGGAAUUACUGGGCGUAAAGGGCGCGUAGGCGGUCCGCUAAGUUGAAUGUGAAAACUCUGGGCUUAACCCAGAGCCUGCAUUCAAUACUGGCGGGCUAGAGUUCUGGAGGGGAUAGCGGAAUUCCUGGUGUAGCGGUGAAAUGCGUAGAUAUCAGGAGGAACACCGGUGGCGAAGGCGGGUCUCUGGGCCGAUACUGACGCUGAGGAGCGAAAGCGUGGGGAGCGAACAGGA
rnacentral:rRNA from 1 species